rnacentral:rRNA from 1 species
UUGUCGAGCGGACAGAUGGGAGCUUGCUCCCUGAUGUUAGCGGCGGACGGGUGAGUAACACGUGGGUAACCUGCCUGUAAGACUGGGAUAACUCCGGGAAACCGGGGCUAAUACCGGAUGGUUGUUUGAACCGCAUGGUUCAAACAUAAAAGGUGGCUUCGGCUACCACUUACAGAUGGACCCGCGGCGCAUUAGCUAGUUGGUGAGGUAACGGCUCACCAAGGCAACGAUGCGUAGCCGACCUGAGAGGGUGAUCGGCCACACUGGGACUGAGACACGGCCCAGACUCCUACGGGAGGCAGCAGUAGGGAAUCUUCCGCAAUGGACGAAAGUCUGACGGAGCAACGCCGCGUGAGUGAUGAAGGUUUUCGGAUCGUAAAGCUCUGUUGUUAGGGAAGAACAAGUACCGUUCGAAUAGGGCGGUACCUUGACGGUACCUAACCAGAAAGCCACGGCUAACUACGUGCCAGCAGCCGCGGUAAUACGUAGGUGGCAAGCGUUGUCCGGAAUUAUUGGGCGUAAAGGGCUCGCAGGCGGUUUCUUAAGUCUGAUGUGAAAGCCCCCGGCUCAACCGGGGAGGGUCAUUGGAAACUGGGGGAACUUGAGUGCAGAAGAGGAGAGUGGAAAUUCCACGUGUAGCGGUUGAAAUGCGUAGAGAUGUGGAGGAACACCAGUGGCGAAGGCGACUCUCUGGUCUGUAACUGACGCUGAGGAGCGAAAGCGGUGGGGAGCGAACAGGAUUAGAUACCCUGAGUAGUCCACGCCGGUAAACGAUGAGUGCUAAGUGUUAGGGGGUUUCCGCCCCUUAAGUGCUGCGGCUAACGCAUUAAGGCACUCGGCCUGGGGAGACGGGUCGCAAGUACUGAAACUCAAAGGUAUUGACGGGGGGCCGCACAAGCGGUUGAGCUAUGUUGUAUUAAAUUCGAGGCAACGCGAAGAACCCUACUGGGCCUGGCAUCCCUCUGAACAUUCUAGAAAUAGACGCCCCCUUCGGGAGACAAGAGUGACAGGUGGUGGCAU